CCUACGGGGGGCAGCAGUGGGGAAUAUUGGACAAUGGGGGGAACCCUGAUCCAGCCAUGCCGCGUGUGUGAAGAAGGCCCUCGGGGUGUAAAGCACUUUCAGUGAGGAAGAACGCCUGGUGGUUAAUACCCAUCAGGAAAGACAUCACUCACAGAAGAAGCACCGGCUAACUCCGUGCCAGCAGCCGCGGUAAUACGGAGGGUGCGAGCGUUAAUCGGAAUUACUGGGCGUAAAGCGCGCGUAGGUGGCUUGAUAAGCCGGUUGUGAAAGCCCCGGGCUCAACCUGGGAACGGCAUCCGGAACUGUCAAGCUAGAGUGCAGGAGAGGAAGGUAGAAUUCCCGGUGUAGCGGUGAAAUGCGUAGAGAUCGGGAGGAAUACCAGUGGCGAAGGCGGCCUUCUGGACUGACACUGACACUGAGGUGCGAAAGCGUGGGUAGCAAACAGGAUUAGAUACCCUGGUAGUC
rnacentral:rRNA from 1 species